AGAACGAACGCUGGCGGCAGGCCUCAAACAUGCAAGUCUAGGGGGCGUAGCAAUACGUCACCGGCGGACGGGUGCGUAACACGUGGGAAUGUACUUAUUGGUUCGGAACAACUCAGGGAAACUUGAGCUAAUACCGAAUGUGCCCGAAAGGGGAAAGAUUUAUCGCCAAUAAAUCAGCCCGCGUCCGAUUAGCUAGUUGGUGGGGUAAAGGCCCACCAAGGCGACGAUCGGUAGCUGUUCUGAGAGGAAGAUCAGCCACACUGGGACUGAGACACGGCCCAGACUCCUACGGGAGGCAGCAGUUGGGAAUCUUGGACAAUGGGGGAAACCCUGAUCCAGCCAUGCCGCGUGAGUGAUGAAGGCCUUCGGGUUGUAAAACUCUUUCGACGGGGACGAUAAUGACGGUACCCGUAGAAGAAGCUCCGGCUAACUUCGCGCCAGCAGGCCGC
rnacentral:rRNA from 1 species